rnacentral:lncRNA from 1 species
AUCUGGUGGGCCAACAAGGAGCCCCGGCCUGCCCUGGAGCCCCAGGCCAUCAAGCCCAUCCUGAAGGCUCUACUCGACAACACCAAGGACAAGAACACGUCACUCUCCAAGAUCCUGGAUGUGGCCAGCUUGGAGGCGCUGAAUGAGUGCAGCCGGCGGUCGCUGAAGAAGCUGGCCUGCCAGGCGGACUCUGUGGAGCAGGUGGAUGACACCAUCCUGACGUGACAAGCUGGGUCCGCUACAGCCACACUGCCCCACGUCUGCGCUCACACUGUUUUCAUUUUUGAAAAUAUGUUUAUUCCAAGGGGAGCUCAGGAGAUGGUGUUCCCAGAAAGUAUUUUAGUAUAUCAGCCAACCAGAGCCAAAGCCUUAAAUCCAACCCACACACAACUGAAAAUCACCUCCUCCAUCUCUUGCCCUUAUCUCUGGAGAAGAGAAAGAAGCGAGCUCAGCGACCUCAGUGAGCGUGUGAGCGGCCG